UAGGGAAUCUUCGGCAAUGGACGGAAGUCUGACCGAGCAACGCCGCGUGAGUGAAGAAGGUUUUCGGAUCGUAAAGCUCUGUUGUAAGAGAAGAACGAGUGUGAGAGUGGAAAGUUUACACUGUGACGGUAUCUUACCAGAAAGGGACGGCUAACUACGUGCCAGCAGCCGCGGUAAUACGUAGGUCCCGAGCGUUGUCCGGAUUUAUUGGGCGUAAAGCGAGCGCAGGCGGUUAGAUAAGUCUGAAGUUAAAGGCUGUGGCUUAACCAUAGUACGCUUUGGAAACUGUUUAACUUGAGUGCAAGAGGGGAGAGUGGAAUUCCAUGUGUAGCGGUGAGAUGCGUAGAUAUAUGGAGGAACACCGGUGGCGAAAGCGGCUCUCUGGCUUGUAACUGACGCUGAGGCUCGAAAGCGUGGGGAGCAAACAGGAUUAGAUACCCUGGUAGUCCACGCCGUANCGAUGAGUGCUAGGUGUUAGACCCUUUCCGGGGUUUAGUGCCGCAGCUAACGCAUUAAGCACUCCGCCUGGGGAGUACGACCGCAAGGUUG
rnacentral:rRNA from 1 species